rnacentral:rRNA from 1 species
GCUUCCUACGGGGCGCAGCAGUCGAGAAUCAUUCACAAUGGGGGAAACCCUGAUGGUGCGACGCCGCGUGGGGGAAUGAAGGUCUUCGGAUUGUAAACCCCUGUCAUGUGGGAGCAAAUUAAAAAGAUAGUACCACAAGAGGAAGAGAGGGCUAACUCUGUGCGAGCAGCCGCGGGAAUACAGAGGUCUCAAGCGUUGUUCGGAAUCACUGGGCGUAAAGCGUGCGGAGGCUGGUUCGUAAGUCGUGUGUGAAAGGCGCGGGCUCAAC